UUGGCAGCAUUAACUAGCUGCCAAUGCCAGCUAGUUAAUGCUGCUAGCACUGGCAGCACUGGUUAGUGCUGCCAGUGCUAGCUAGUGCUGCACUGGCAGCACUAGCUAGCAUUAGGUGGGCACUGGCAGCACUAGCUAGCUUUGGGCUGGCAUUAGCAGCACUAGCUAGCUGCAUUAGCAGCACUAGCUAGCUUUGGGCUGGCACUGGCAGCACUAGCUAGCUUUGGGCUGGCAUUGCAAGGCUUUCAGAGAAGUAUUGCCACGUGAGCUAGUAUUUGUGUUCUGAUGACUAACUGUGUUUGCAAUGCCAUUACAAAUGCAGUCAUCAGUCUGUAUUUGAUGACUGUAUUUUAAUGACAGUCAUUGCUGAUGACUGAUGCUGGUAACCAAUUUUCAACAAAGUAAAUGUCCUUCUGCUGUAAUGGGUCAGACGUUCAGAUACCUGGAAAUGUUGAACGCAUGUUUUCUGCAGUAGGAAGAAAAUUACAACUGAAAAGUCUUUCGAAAGAGUGAAUAAUUAGGAAAGGUUUUUGUUUUUCUGCGUGGCACAAGUUCAAUAUUAUUUAUUUCAUUAAUAUUCCUAAUGACUCGUAGGAAAGGAGUAAUAAAGCGCUACCUUUUCUCUUUUAGAUAUCUAAACCAAACUUUACUUGUUUUUUGAUAAAACAUUUUCAGUUAAUUGUUUACAUAUUGCAAAAUAAACUACAAUUGAAUUGAAAAGGUGAGAACAUAUUAAAGUACGUUCUGGGAGCAUCACUAGCUCUCCUCUAGAAAAGUUCUUAUAAAAAUCUGACCUGCUAAGAUUUAUUAUCCUGAAAAUCACCUACUGGUCCUAUGUACAAAUGGUGUUUGUCAAAAACAAGCCAGGGACUUGUUCUGGUGUCUGUAAGGUCCUGCGGUAUAUCAAUAGUCUAAAUAAUGAUUCAGACAGAAAACAACAGGGCUUCAAGCUGGUGUUUUUUCCUCUGCUUGAAGAGGACAUAUCGCUCCCCGCUGUCACCAUGGAAACCAAAUUGUACUAGAAAUUCCUGUUGACUCACAUUGAGGGUCUCACUCAAAGCAAAAAUUUUCAAGUCAAAGUGGUGCAGAUGCCCCGCGGCGCCACUUUUCUGCUCAAAAACCUUUUACCGGGACAUAAAUAUCUCGGACUCAGAUGUAACCAUGGAAACUGGCCACAACUGAUGGGCUUGAAACGUCAGGAUUGGCAUACACAAUCGGCCGGCGCGCGCACAUUCGCUGGAGCUUCAAUUUGACAAUUGAAGUCACAUGAAGGAGCCUCUGAGGCUGUGUGAGGUUGGUCAACAAGGCAGCRGGGAGUCUGCAGCGGU